GCGACGCUAACCAGAUAUCCCUUUUUAUGCAAAUCACACCCACAGCCCGAGGUCGGCCUUGAAUGGAACAGUGUCCUGUACAGUGUCCCAGAUUGCAAGUGAAAAAAAGGAAAAAGCCCGGUAGAACUGGAGGUCAAGAGACAGUACAUCUGGUGCAACAGCCCCGGAAUGAGGUAAUAAGAAGAUGGGAAAGGGGAUAGCCUUAUAGGGGGCAGCAUCUGAAAGAUGCUAUAAAGUUCCCCUGGCCUCAGAAUGUCUCCUCAACUACCUAUCUGGGCCUACCAGGGCCUGACAUGUCAGUAUAGACAGGUUCUAAAGGCUUUUUAGUACUCAGUAGAACUUUGUAUUGGAUAUACAUAUAUAUAUGAGUCGGAAUCGACUCGAUGGCACUGGGUUUGGUUUAUAUAUAUACAUAUUCUUCAGUGGGUUAGUACCUUAAAUGUUAGUUGGGAGUACAAAACCACCACCUGGGGAAGUGAAAGAAACCAAAGUGAGUAAGUAACAAAAGGGUUCUAGGAAAGGUGCUAAAAGGGGAAAUGGAAAAUAUAAAAGAAACUCUGUAACGACUUGGGCAUUGAGUGUCUAUUUAACUCUGCUGAAACCAGGUGAAGGGGGAUCAGGAAUUGCCCACUGUUUCUGGUACAUGGUGCCCCCAUCUUCUCUCUGCUCUCUUUUACGUUGCUUCCUCCCUACUUUGUCUUUCUUGUUUUUCCUUCACUUCCUCCCUACUUUGUCUUUCUUGUUUUUCCUUCACUUCCUCCCUACUUUGUCUUUCUUGUUUUUCCUUCACUUCCUCCCUACUUUGUCUUUCUUGUUUUCCCUUCACUUCCUUUUAUCUUUCCAGUUGAUGUGUCUUUAUCCCUUCUAUCUACUCCUGUCAGAUGGAUGACUCAGGAGGAAGCAGACAGUGGCCUCUGUCACAUCUGGCAAAUGGUAAAACCUGCUGCAAACAGUAUUAAUGAGGGUUAACAAUGGGCCAGACAUGAAGUUAGGGACCAUAUGAUGUAUCACAAUGAAUAAGAUAAUUGUGUCUAGUCUAGGAGGCUUACAGCCUAGUAGGACAGAUGUGAUACAAAGAUACAUGCAAAGAAAAAAAAAAAAAACAGGAGAAACAAAGUAAAUAAGGGCAAGGUCAACUACACUGCCCAUUUAAGAGGUUCCAUGAUCCAGCUGUCGCCCAUUCCCUGCAGCCAGACAAGCUCUGUGUCCAAUUCCUAAGACUUACCUGAUACUCACUCUACAUAAGGCAAUAGAAAGUUAUUGGCUUUCGUUUGAUAAAAUAUUAUCUUUAUUAUAUACUUAACAAUUUAUUCUAUUAUUUUCACUUGCUUUUCUAUCCCUGACUUUUUAAAUAUCUUAUACCUAUACUUUUAUAUCUAUAUAAAAUAUUUAUAUACAUCUAUAGAUCUAUACUUUUAUAUUUUUUUAUACCUAUACUGACUCAAUAAGAUCCUCAUAGACAUCAUCAGACUGUAAAAGUUUUCUGCUAUCAAGAAAAGGCUCUGUCAAUUUAGUUGCCACACAGUCCCCCUUUCUUAAUAACCAAACUGUUUUCACUUAGAUGCUCUAUGUAGUCUGAAGCUUUUGUAUGCUUCUUCACCUCAAAAACUCUUGUUUUAUUCUAAAUGUCUUCCAUUUUCUGGUUAAGAGUGUCAUGGAGCGUUUUCUUUAUUUCUCUACAUCAUUUGGCAGUAAAGACAUUGCCCUAAAUUAUCAUAUCUCGCCAACGGUAUAGUGCUGGUAUUAAUCAUCUCUGACUUACAGAAAAUGUGUGUUAAAAAUGUCAACUGCAAAGUACAAAGCAGUAAUGUCAUACUGCACCUCUUUUGGCACACGAUACACACUAAACAGCAGGUGCUGCUUUUCUCUGAUAUUUGCGAUCGAUGACUUCUCUUUCUUAUUACUCCCACCAUCAUUAUGUUUAAUCUACAUUCAUCCAUGACACACUGCAACUUGCUGAUUUUAUAAGUAUGUAAAUAAAAUGAGUAAGGAAUACAAAACUCCAAUAGCAUAAUAUCUACUUUCGCAUACAAUUCAACCUGCUCAACUAAAUAUGCCUCUAUCAGACACGUAUGGAGUCCUGCAGCUAGCUAGCUCUCAGAUGUGCUUGCAGAGCAGGAAAGAGAAUUCAAAAUCCAUCUGUAAUUAACAGCCACUGUAGAGUCUAUUCCACAGACAAAUAAGACAGAGCACUCCAACUACUAUAAAUUAAAUCAUUUCCAAAUGGAACAAAAUAUAGAAAAGUUCCAGCAAGUUUACACGACAACCACGAGGCUGAAAGCUUUCCUCUCUCCCACAAAACAUAAUAUAAAGUACUUAGGAUGACAUUUGUAAAGAAACAAAUCCCAGCCAUUAUUUUAAAGUAUUACCACAUAUCAUUUCAAAUACAAACAUUCCCUUUAGCCAUUUAAGUGCCACGUGUCCCACUAAAACAUGCAAAUCGUCAGUCAUACGCAGCAUGCAGCAUGCAGUAAGUGGACAGCAGAGGUUAAUAACCUGGAAGCAUAGGAUCUGAGAAUGUGAGAGCAAGUUAAAGACAAGAGUUCCUCUCCAUUGUCACUGAGGGUCGAGAAGCAACGCUGAAGUGUAGAACAGUGGGAGUGGGGGAAAUACAGUUUGUCCAACACAUAAACAUAUCUCCGCAAGUGGCGGCAGGUAUAACUGAAAGACAAAGGUAAAGGGAGAAAAACAGAAAGAGAGUUUUCCUUUGAAAAAAGUAAAUCAUCCUUUAUGUCCCCAAAGCUUUCUGAGUAUCUUCAGUAGAUGGUGCCAGAGAAAAAAACAACUGUUAAAAGAGAAUAUAAAAAAAGAUAUAUUGGCGGUGAGAAAGUUUCAAAAUACGAUGGCGCCAUUAGUUAAACAUAUGAAAUUUGGCUUGGUAGAGCAAAAUGAUGUAAGAUAUUUUCUUUUUACGGUAUUACAAAUACAUUCCUGGCAGAUAGGCACUAAUAAUACUACAGCAAUAGGGCAGAUGCUGUGAGAGAGAGAACACUGAAUUAGGAGAGAACUUGAAUUCUAGAUCUAGCUCAUCCAUUGGCAGCUUUACAAUAGUGGGUAUUUGAACUCUCUAAGCCUCAGUUCCACAAAUUGCAACACAGAAAUAAAAACUUAAAAUUACUCCAAAAUGUUGAAAUGAUAUUACAAAAAAGUAAAAUAAUGAUAUGAGGAAUUAUUACUAUUAUUGCUACUAUUAGAACAGACUCACGGGUGCCACAUUUCAGGUCAUUUAAAAAUAACACGUUUGAAAGAGGGAAAAGUAAAAUCAAGCUGACAGGGUAAAGCAACAAAACAGUAAACCCAUCAGUGAUAUGCCCAGACUACCAGUCUCUGAGAACCAUGUUUAGAGAACCAUACUAAAAUUAUAUCAAUUUGGUAAGUGGGCAAUAAGUGAUUUUUAAAGAGUGUUGAGCUCAAAAUAAAACUAAUGGAGUGAAAUAUUUGAAAUGGCCAAAUUUCUAUAAAUGGACAAUCCACAUCAAUUCAGCCAAUCAACUAACCAACCAACCAACAAAAACAAAUCCGUUAGCCAAAGAGUAUCUAUUAUCUACCGCAUGUAGGAACUAUGCUAAGUAAGCAUUCAGUGUGACUCAUUACCACCUUAAACACGUGAUCACAGUUAAUAUUGCAUUCAGUGUGACUCAUUACCACCUUAAACACGUGAUCACAGUUAAUAUUGCAUUCAGUGUGACUCAUUACCACCUUAAACACGUGAUCACAGUUAAUAUUAUCAUCAGUAAUGGGAAAAUAUGUCUCCCACCAUGAUCACAGCAUAGUUUAAAUCUAAUCCUGAAGAACCAUCCAAAACCAAAAACCAAACCCACUGCUGUCCAGUCGAUUCUGACUCAUAGCAAUCCUACAGGACAGAGUAGAACUGUCCCAUAGAGUUUCCAAGGAGCGCCUGAUGGAUUCAAACUGCCGACCUCUUGGUUAGCAGCCGUAGCACUUAACCGCUACGCCACCAGGGUUUCCACUAGAUAAAGCCAGAUUGAGAGGUAGUCUACAAAAACAGAACAAAACAAAAAAACACUGUCCUCUACUCUUCAAAACUGAAGACCAGGAAAGACAGAGAGAACGAAAGACCGAGGAACUGUUUCACAUUAAAGGAGUAAAGAGACAAGACAACCAAAUGUAAUAUAUGAUUCUGGGACUAGAUCCUAGACUGGGGUGGGGUUCCUUUUCUAGAGAGAAAAUUGGUGGAGCACAUGACCAAAGCUGAAUGGCUGUAGAUUAGACAAUACUGUUUUAUCCAUGUUUAUUUCUUGAUUUGGAUAAAUGUCUUUGUUUUUAAGAAAUACAUACUAAAGUACUUAGUGGUAAAGGUGCAUCAUGUCUACAAACUCAUUCUCAAAUAUUUCAAGCAAAAAAGCAAAUGUGGCAAAUUUCUACAUAAGAAGAAUCUAACUUAAGGGUAAAUGAAAAUUCUUUAUACGAUUCUUAGCAUUUUUGUAAGUCUGCAGUUUCAAAAUAAGAAGUUAAAAAUGAAUAUGAUAUGAAACAUGAAAAAUUGAUAUAUUUUGUAUUUAAUCUUAAAAAAUCUUUAAAAAAACUAGUCUUUUUGAUAAGCUGAAUAAUAUUUAUUUUAAUAUUAUGAGAUUCAAAUCUAGAGCCCUAAAAUGUCAUUCUGACCUCUAUAGUUAAAGGUUGGGACAUCAGAAAACUAGAGCGUGGGAAAUAAGCAAAUGUGGUCUGGAGCUAUCCCAUUGAAAACAGUCACUGUUACUUAAGAGUUGUACUUCCAUAAAAAAUAAAAUCUCCUCAGUGCCUUCUUACAUGAAAAUGUUCAAGAUUAUGCAAUGUAUAGUUCUAAAAUGAUAUUUGUUAUGGUCAUGCUUCACCAAAAUAAAUUAUAAAAAUGUUCUGUUUUAGAACAACAUUUAAGCCUAUAAAAAAAUCCCAAAAAACACAAGGAAAAGAAUGAUGCUUAAGAAAGACCCCAGAGUCAGGCUUUUUAAUAAUGUAUUUUACAAUACUUUGACAAUAAAACUAAUAAUGUAUUUCCAUAGUAACUUUUUAACUACUUAUCUUCUUAAUUAUUUAUAUGUUUAAAGAACUUUCAAAGAACAAGGAGAUGACGAGGGGGAGUUUAAACUUUAUGGAUUAUCUAGAAUAUUCUGUGUAUCACUUUCUAAUUUCCAUUUUUCUUUAAACAAAAGUUUGUUUGCAGGUCCACUGGCAAAUAUAAAACACAUUACACUAAUAAAUACUUUAAGAUUUAUAUGAAGAAAAUUACAAAAAUGUACUGUUGGGCAUAAAAGGAAACUUGACUAAAUGAAGAGACAUCAGCAUGUCCCUGGGUGUGGAGACAAAAUAUUAUGAAGGAUGUCAUUAUCCGCCACAGAUUCAAAAUCUCAACAGGAAGAUUCUUUAAUCAUGACAAAGUAACUCUCUUACAGCGUUUCCUAAUUUUUUUGUUUAAGUGUCCCUUACAAAAUCUCGUAAAAGACCUGAAACUCCCCUACAGAAAAAUAUAGCAAGUCAUACAUGCACACAAAUCUUAUAUAACAUUUCAAGAUCUUCAGAGCCCCUGGAGCCCAUUCACGUUAUUCCCAUGCCAGAUGCAUAAAAUGCAAGGACUGAACUUGUGUACCAAAAAAAAAAAGGCAAGACGAGCUAAGAAAACUUGGAAAAAGAAAAGUAAUAAGGAGGAAGUAAACCUUAUAAUGUUGAAAUACAUAAGACUAUAACAAUAAAAACAAAUGGUACUGGAAGAAUAGACACAUGAAUCAAUAAAAUAACAGAAAACCCAGAAACAGAACCUAGUGUGUGAUCAAGGUGACAUUUAAACUUUGGAAGGGAGAGGAGUUUCUCAUGUGUCCCUGGAAAAGCUGUCUACAUACUUGAAGAAGGAAGAAAAAAGCUAGAAAUUUAUGUUAUGCUGCAAACCAAAUUAAAUUCCAAGUGAAUUAAGAGUUGAAAGUUAAAAAUAAAUCCAGAAAAGAAACAGAAGUAUAAAAAGAAGAGUGGGAGAGGCAGGCAUAAGGAAAAAGGUUGGCUGAUGUGACUACUUAAAAAUUUAACCUGUCAAAAAAAAAAAAAAAUCAUCAAUAAAAAGGUAACAUGAUUUAUAACAUAAGAUAGACAGCCAAUUUCUCCUCAUGUCUAUAAAGAACCCUUAGAAAUCAGUGAAUGAAAAUGGACACAACUGACAAAUGAACAAAGUACACAUCCUAGUAACUGAUAAAAACGUACAAGCAAUAAACAUAAAAAAAAAAAAACCUAUUCUCAACAGUGAUGAAAAAGUAAAAUUAUAGAAAUGAAAUACCAAUUUUUGGCUGUCAAACUGGAAGAUCUUUAAAAGAAAAGAUAAUAGAGAUGGCAAGAAUACAAGAAUAUUAUCAUACACACUUUAUCGACUGUAAAUUGGUACAAUGUUUCUGGAAGGAAAUAUAGUAACUCAUAAACCUUCAAAAUAUGCACUGCCUUUGACCAGUAAUCCCAUUUCUAUGAAACUAUUCUAUUCUACUAAGAGCCUCUUUAGCAAUACCCAAAAAGACAAAAACUUAACCUCUCAUGAUCUAGAAUCAAGAUUUAGGCCUUGAUAUAUAUUUCAUUAUGUUUUUCUAGACUAUCAAACUACCUUUGGUCCAAACACAGAUAUAAAUUAUGGGGCAAAGCAAAGUGAUAACAUGGGCAGAGACCAAAAGUAGAUUCUGUGAAUGAUUCUGUCAAAAAAUAAGAGAGGACUUCAGCUAGUACUCCUUUACACAUUCAUUCAACACAGGCUUUUGGAGCAUAUACAAAAAAAUAGACAUCAUUCUAAAAAGUUGAGAUUCAGUGGCACAAAAAGAUAGACAUGGGCUCUGCACUCAUGGAAAAUACAUUUGAAUAUUGAGAAAGACUGAGAACAAAUGAUUUAAAUAAAAUAAACAAGAUAAUUUCAGUUAAGAAAAUAGAACAAUAAGAUAAAGGGUGAUGGGAAAAGGGCUGAAAGGGCUAAAUUAAUUUGGGUGGUUAGGAAAGGCAUGAUCAACGGAAUGACAUCUGACCUGAGAUAUGUAUACCUAGAACAAGUGCAGUCUCAACUUGUCAAGUAUUUGGUAACAUUACGAACUAAUUUAAUUAACAUUUUUUACUCCAUGACUGAAUAAAAGCAUUUGACACUUAAAGGGAAAGAGGUAUCAAUAACUUGAAUAAUGGAGUAUUUACAUGAACAAGAUGAUAGGUUCCCCCCGCCCCCCACCUCUCCAGUGGCAUGAGUAUGACUGAUGAGACAAUGAGUAUGACUGAUAAUGGGGCACACUGUGAUCUCAGCAUCACAGGGUUGGGAGAGCCUAGGAGGGCACGUUGCCCAAUCCUCUACUCACAGUAGGAUGUCUUUCUACAUAUCCCUGGCUAGAUGUUCUUACUGCUCUUACUAUACAUCUUUAAGCCAAAGAGAACUCCCUAAUUUGGGAAAUAGCCCCAUUCCACAGAUAGGUCUAACAACUAAAAACUUUUUUCUUUAUAAUAUGCUAAAUUCUAUUUUCCUAUAACUUCUACCCAGUUAUGGCAUCUGGAAUUACAUAUACAAAGUCUAACUUUCUUCCCUACAUGACAGCCUUUAGAUAUAUGAAGAAACCUCUUAAUCUUUCACUGUCUAUUAAUAUUAAACAUCUGUUCUUUCACCGCUGAUUGAACAUGGUUUCUAGAUUCUCCAUCAAUCUUACUGCUCUCCUCUGGAUACUCACAUUGAUUAAUAUGCUUCUCAGCAGCAUACCAAGGGCAGGGAAAAGUAUGUUACAACUAAUAGUGUUUAGAAUUGCUGGUGCAUGGUGGUAAUAAAAAAGCAGAUCAACCUUUAGUUAGUUUUAUUACAGUUCUAAAAUUCUUUAUGGACAAUACAUUCUCCUAUUGGCUAAAUCUAGAUCCAGGGUGAACCACUCAUUCUUGGUACACCUCCGGCCAUUCUUAAGAUAUGGCAACAAGAAGUGAACAUAUUUUAGGAGAGGUGAAGCCAACAUAGUGCUACAGACAGAAGUACCACGUCAUCCUUCACACCAAAGACCUGAAAAACUAAAUAAAACAGAGACAAACAUCAAUCCUGGAACUCUAAGUGUCAAAUGAAAAGGGAAAUAACUCAACCAAAACCAAAUGGAAUAAGAAACUGACAGAGAAUAGAGAGCAAGGAGAGAUACGAGCAGAGGUUCCCUAUCAGCUAAUGCAGCAGAGAUUUGCCACCUUGGACUCCUGUCAGAGAUUGGUGGACAAGGAGCAUGGGAAAGCAGAUUCACGGAGCUCUGAGCAGGAGACAGAGCACCUGGUAACCAGUGAUAUAUGCUUUCCCACUCCUUACCCUUCCUUCUUCUGCUUGGUCUCCACCGCUUCCCAGCAGGCUGAUCUGCCACUUCCCAGUGGGCCAAGCAACUGCAGCAGGGGAGGCGCUGGCUCCAUGCCAUGCAGAUUUGCCCUACCCACACCAGCUGGCUCUUCAGUGCCAUUUCUUUGUUGUUGGUGUUGCUUUCUUCGGCUUCUUUUGGUUUCUUCCCUGCCUCUCACCUCCUCCCCUCCCCCUCCUUUCUGUUGAACACCUGACUCUAUGAGCCAUCUUCGCUUCUUCUUGACAGGCUGUGAAGUGCUGCUGAACUGGGGAACUGCUUCCCCGGUCCAUGCCGCCAUGCUGGUGGGAUCCCUGGGGGCUUUCUUCCCCCUCUUUUUCUUUUUGUUUGCUUGUAUGUUUUCUCUUUUUUCCUAUUUAUUUUUCCUCAUUUCUUGGUUUCUCGUCUCUUUCUACUUACCUUCUUUUCCUGUCUCCUGAAAACCUCGUGCUGUGUGCCAUCUCCACCCCUUCUAGCCAGGCCAGACUGUGCCACUUUCCUGGUCUGUACAGCUGCAUCGGUGGGAUCCCUGGAGGCAUUUUUAAUAUUUUUCCUUUUGUUUAGUUUUAUUUUUUCUUUUUGUUUAGUUUUAUUUUUUCUUUUUGUUUUUCUUCAAUUCUCGCUUUCUAGUCUAUCCACUCCGACAGCAAGCUCCCUCAGCACUUUUUUUUUUCGUGGGGGGGCUCCUAUUUGUCUUUCCUCUCUCUCUUUAUUCCCAUACCCAAUCUAGCUCCACAAAUCACAACAUCCCUCCUCCUUCCUGCCUACCUGCACUGUGUGCUGAACACCCCCAAGCAGCACAGGCAUGGCCUACAAGAACCUGCCCUGCACUGACAACCAGCCCACCUUGUCUGCCCCAGUACAUGUCACAAACAACCCAUCCUAGCCCCUCCCCUUCAGCUGGACCUGCCCUGCUGCACCAUAGCUGAGUGACUGGCUCUGCCCAUUGGACAAGGAGAUGAAAAAUAUUGUGCCCACAGAUGAGCAAACAAAGAAUGCACAGCCUACUUGCUCAGACAUAACCAAAUAAAACAAACAAACAGCAUAAAACAAACAAAUCUACAAUCAAUAAACAAAGAAAAUAACUACUGGAUGUCCCAAAGACAGCAGACAAUAUCAAAACAUAUAUAAAAAAAAAAAGGACAGGAUGGUUCUAGUAGGCAUCCAAAAUAAAAAACCGGAUGACUUUCCAGUAGGAGAAAAGGCACUGGAACUACCUGAUAGUGAAUUCAAAUCUCUAAUUUUCAGAGCUGUCCAAGAAUUGAAGCAAAAAGCAGACAAAAAUGAGGAAAAAAUAGACAAAUUCAUGGAAAAUACAGACAAAAAAAUGCAAGAAUUCAGGAAAAUAAUACAGGAACAAAAUGCCAAAAUAAAUUCACAACUAGAAGUCAUACAAAAGCAACAAUUAGAAAUCCAAAAUAUAAACAACAAGAUUUCAGAAUUGGACAAUGACAUAGAAGGUCUGAGGAGCUGGUUUGAAGCAAUACAUGACAGGAUCAGAGAAACUGAAGACAAAUACUUGGAUACCACUUUGCUUGAGAAAAAAAUCAGAAAACAAGAAUGAAGAAAAAUGAAGAAACCCUCAGAAUGACAUGUGAUACAAUCAAAAGCAAAAAUUUGUGAGCGAUUGGAGUUCCAGAACAGGGGAAGAAAAUGGAAAACACAGAAGGGAUCAUUAAAGAACUGCUGACAGAAAGCUUCCCUAGUGUCAUGAAAGAUGAAAAGCUGACAUCCAAGAAGCUCAACAAACCCCAUAUAGGACAGACUCCAGAACAAAAUCACCAAGGCAUAUCAUAAUCACACUUGCUAAAACCAAAGACAAAGAAAGAAUCCUGAGAGCAGUUUGAAAAAAACAAAAAGUCACAUACAGAGGGGAAACAAUAAGACUAAGCUCUGAUUACUCCGCAGAAAAUGCAGGCAAGAGGCAAUGGGAUAACAUAUAUAAAACCUUGAAAAAAAAAAAACGGCCACCCAAGAAUUACAUAUCCUGCAAAACUCUCAUUCAAAUCUGAUGGUGAAAUUGGGACAUUUCCAGAUAAACAGAAAUUAAGGAAAUAUGUAAAAACCAAUCCAAACUUACAAGAAUUAUUAAAGAGAGUCCUUCGGUUUGAGAACAAGCAAUAUCAGACGACAGCCUGAAUCUAGAACACAAGACUGCACCAGCCAGACAUCAGUCUAGGACAUGAACUCUCAAGGACUAUUCAAAACCAAAAGAUUUACAGCGGGGAACCAGUGAUGGUAAUCUGUAAAUGACAACAAUGUCAGAACAAUAAAAGAAGGAAUAAAUGGUAUAGGUAUAGACCUUUCUAAUAGAGAGGAAGGCAAGGCAAUACCAAGUGAUAACAGACUAGACUGUUUCAAACUUAGGAAGAUAUGGGUAAAUUUCAAGGUAGCCACAAAGAAAGUUAACAAACCUGCUCAAUAAAAUAAACAACAAAAACAUAAAGUCUCAGUAAAAACAAAAUUUACAAAAACAAAAGAAAUGAAAAAAUAAUCCACAAACAAAAAGGAACUCAGCACAGGAGAAUAAGAGGAACAAAGAAAACAUCAGCACCAUGAAAAAAAGCACUACAAAAUGACAGCAAUAAACUCACACCUACCAAUAAUUAUACUGAACAUAAACGGCCUAAAUGCACCCAUAAGGAGAGAGAGAGUGACAGAAUGGGUAAAAAACAGUAUCCAUCGAUAUGAUGUCUAUAAGAGGCACACCUUAGAAACAAAGACGUAAAUUUAUUAAAAAUCAAAGGAUGAAAAAAAAAAAAACAAGCAAACAA